rnacentral:rRNA from 1 species
UACGUAGGGUGCAAGCGUUGUCCGGAAUUAUUGGGCGUAAAGAGCUCGUAGGCGGUUUGUCGCGUCGAAUGUGAAAACCCGGGGCUCAACCCCGGGCCUGCAUUCGAUACGGGCAGACUAGAGUUCGGUAGGGGAGUCUGGAAUUCCUGGUGUAGCGGUGAAAUGCGCAGAUAUCAGGAGGAACACCGAUAGCGAAGGCAGCUCGCUGGGACGGUACUGACGCUGAGGUGCGAAAGCGUGGGGAGCGAACAGG